AAGUUUGAAACAAAAAUUGUAUUCAGUUUCGACCUGAAAUUCUAGUUUAAUAAAACUCUAACUUU
rnacentral:tRNA from 1 species